UACGGAGGGUGCGAGCGUUAUCCGGAUUCACUGGGUUUAAAGGGUGCGUAGGUGGGUCUGUAAGUCAGUGGUGAAAUCUCCGAGCUUAACUUGGAAACUGCCAUUGAUACUAUAGCUCUUGAAUUUUCUGGAGGUAAGCGGAAUAUGUCAUGUAGCGGUGAAAUGCUUAGAUAUGACAUAGAACACCAAUUGCGAAGGCAGCUUGCUACAGGAACAUUGACACUGAGGCACGAAAGCGUGGGGAUCAAACAGG
rnacentral:rRNA from 1 species